rnacentral:misc_RNA from 1 species
GAUGAAGAACGUAGCGAAAUGCGAUAAGUAAUGUGAAUUGCAGAAUUCAGUGAAUCAUCGAAUCUUUGAACGCACAUUGCGCCCGCUAGUAUUCUGGCGGGCAUGCCUGUCCGAGCGUCAUUUCAACCCUCAAGCCCCCGGGCUUGGUGUUGGGGAUCGGCGAGCCUCCGCGCCCGCCGUCCCCUAAAUCUAGUGGCGGUCUCGCUGUAGCUUCCCCUGCGUAGUAGCACACCUCGCACUGGGAAACAGCGCGGCCACGCCGUUAAACCCCCAACUUCUGAACGUUUGACCUCGGAUCAGGUAGGAAUACCCGCUGAACUUAAGCAUAUCAAUAAGCGGAGGA